rnacentral:sRNA from 1 species
UUGAGAAUUUUUCCUUGGAAUGGGUGU